ACCAGAUGGCGACCGUACCAUUGCAGUUGAGCUAGGUGGCAAUUGGCUAGAAUGCAUAAAUGCAAUGAGUUUAUUACCAGAAUUAACCAGCGACCACGAGGAAGCGGACAAGAAACUCGUUACAUUUGUGCAUACUAGCCAAUUGCCACCUAGCUCAACUGCAAUGGUACGGUCGCCAUCUGGU
rnacentral:miRNA from 1 species